GACGCAGGCCAAGCAGUCGCGGAGGUGGAACGACCUUCGAGGAAAGUCCGGACAUCGCAGGGCAGGGUGGUCGGUAACGCCGACCCGGGGAAACCCGCGGGAAAGUGCCACAGAAAAGACACCGCCUAAGCCUGGAGCCGCUGCAGAGCUUCAGGCCGGCAAGGGUGAAAUGGUGCGGUAAGAGCGCACCGGCGUCGCGGUGACGCGGCGGCCAGGUAAACCCCACCCGAUGCUAGGCCAAGCAGGACCGUUCGUAGGUGGCCCGCCAAGGUCCGGGUAGGCCGCGCAGAUGGAUGACUGCUCACGACAGGAUCCGGCUUACCGGCCUGCUACGGAG
rnacentral:RNase_P_RNA from 1 species